AUGAAAGAAGUGUGUUGUGAACAUGAGGGUUUCUCGGAUGGUUCACGGUGGUGUUGUUCGGUGGGGAGGGAUGGUCGAACGGAGGAAGGUAUCAUGAGUAUGGAGUAUGAAGAUGGCAAGGUCGCUGGAUAUACACCGAGUAACAAGUUCGGUUUGAAAAGAGGGAGUAAUGGAGUGUGGGUACGAGUUGGGUGGUGGCCGAAAAGGAAUGGCGAAGGGAUGAAGAGGGAAUAG